rnacentral:lncRNA from 1 species
GACCGAGCGCAGCGGCCGGGCCGGCGGGCGGGCGGGCGGCUGCGAGCAUGGUCCUGGUGCUGCACCACAUCCUCAUCGCUGUUGUCCAAUUCCUCAGGCGGGGCCAGCAGGUCUUCCUCAAGCCGGACGAGCCGCCGCCGCCGCCGCAGCCAUGCGCCGACAGCCUGCAGACGCCUUGCUGAGUCUGGGCUCUGUCAUCGACAUUUCAG